UGUUAUAAGGAGCCGAGGUCCAUGUAUGCAAAUCGUCGAUUGUCAGUUGGCGAGUCCGGGGAGAGCUGCAAGCAGUCUUCGGCAUCCUCGAUAGACGAUCACCAAUUCACGUCACCAUCAGUCCAUCACCAUGUCCGGCGGCACAGCGCCGCGCGUCGUGGAGGACUUCUUCGGCGUGAUCCAGCUCCUCAGCGACGGCUCCGUCGUCCGCGGCGACGAAUCGACCAUCAUGCCGGCGGGAGGGCCGUUCCCGGACGUACCGAGCGUCCAGUGGAAGGACGCCGUGUACGACGCGGCUCGAGGCCUCAAGGUCCGCGUGUACAAGCCCUCGCCGCCGGCCGCCGGCGCCGAAGGGAAGCUCCCGGUGCUGGUGUACUUCCACGGAGGCGGCUACUGCGUCGGCGCCUACGACCAGCCCAUGUUCCACUCCUUCUGCCAGCGCUUCGCCGCCGAGCUCCCCGCCGUUGUGCUCUCCGUCCAGUACCGCCUCGCCCCCGAGCACCGCCUCCCCGCGGCCAUCGAAGAUGCCGCGACAUUCUUCUCCUGGCUGCGCGACGGCGCCGAGCCGUGGCUCGCCGAAUCGGCCGACCUCUCCCGGACGUUCGUGUCCGGCGUGUCCGCCGGCGCCAACCUGGCCCACCACGUCGUCGUCCAGAUCGCCUCCGGGCAGAUCGUGCUCGGUCCGGUGCGCCUAGCCGGAUACAUCCUCUUCUCCGCGUUCUUCGGCAGCGACGAGCACACGGCGACGGAGUCCGAUCCCCCCGCCGGCGUGUCCCUGACGGUCGAAAUGUCCGACCAGCUCUGGCGCAUGGCGCUUCCGGUGGGGGUCACCAGGGACCACCCGCUGGCGAACCCGUUCGCGCCGGGCAGCGCGAGGCUGGAGCCGCUGACGCUGCCGCCGGCGCUCGUCGUGGCGCCUGGCCGCGACGUGCUGUGUGGCCACGUGCUGCGCUACGCCGCGAGGCUCAAGGAGAUGGGGAAGGCCGUGGAGCUCGCCGAGUUCGUGGGGGAACCACAUGGCUUCUCCGUCAUCAGACCGCGGAGCGAGGCGACGGAGGAGUUGAUGGGAGUCUUGAAGCGGUUUGUGCACCACCAUGCCGUGCUCAAUUAGUCAACUGAACUGAAGGGGGUGAUUAGUUGGUCUGUCGGGGCCAUUGGUGGGCGCUCGUUCGUCGCUAUCCGCUCGCAGCGAACGAACGCCCCCAGAUACUGUUCAUCUUCCUCCUCUCGUCUUCCUUCUUCCUCCCGCAGGCAGAGCUCCAAUCCGACCUCCCACCGCCGCCGCCCCACGGACCGCCUCCCCUGUGUCUGACGGCAUCUAAGGUUUUCGUAGGCAUUUUUUUUUCCAAAAUGAAGACACGUACGUUGAUUUGGCUGUUCUCAUGGUGGUGCUCCUGGAACCUCGCGGCAGCAUCUCUCACACAUGGGAGUACGAUACCAGACUCUGGGAAAACGUAAAUCUGGCACUUCCGGGAUCCGAUGCGAGUGUGACAAGAUCACGUGAGCCACAUGCGUCCACAUGCUCGUGUCUUCGACCGGGAGGACGGGAACCUGCGGUCGUCUGUAGAUUCAGCAUUGCGGUUUCGUCUCCAGCUUUCUUUGGAACUUUGGAUGUUGACUGGAACCAGCGACAUUUGUUUUGUGUUUGCUGGGCUUGCAAAGCUCCUCCUUUACGUGGGCCGUUGCAUGCGUGUUGGACUCCAGCGACGCAGCCUUGAACUCAAGGAAUCGUCAUCCACCCGAGACAUACGUACCCUUUUUUCCCCUCUCCCUUUCUCUACUUCGUACCACAUCGGCCUUUAAAAUAGGUUUAGCAGCCAUUAUAUGUCAUCGUGCAACUACUGCAACCAGACCGCGUGGAAGGCGUGGUUAGCACAAACUCAAAAUCAUAUGAAAUAUUGGGAAAAUUCAUGAAGCACACUAAAUGAUGUGCUUAGCCGUUUUGUUUUCGACCAUUUUUUUUUUGUUUUCAAGAAACAUUUGUCAUCCAAGAGCUGUAU